CCUCAUAAAAAAAAACGGCAAACGAAAAAAGUCAAAUAAAAAAAAAAAACACACACACACACACACACACAAGUAGAUAGCAAGGAUAACAAAAACAUAUACAUAAGCCAUAACAAUAAAAAUAAAACGAAUAUAUAAAAAAAAAACGACAAGAAUUAUGCUAAAGAAAAGAACGCAACCAAAAGAAAAAAAGACGGAAACCGCUAAAAAUAAAACAAACAUAAAAACGACACAUAAAUGCAUAAAAACACCACGUAAAAACAAAGGAAUGUAAACAACGAACGAUAAAACCGAACUCGCGUCGAACAACCAAACAACCAAACAAGCGGUAGUAGUGGUAGUCGGAGAUAUACCUUUGCAACGGCUCCCCUUCCACCUUACGCCGACAUCUCUCUGUUCUGGCUAAGAAAUUUUUGUCUUUUGUUCCACAGUCUGUUUUGCUUCAUUUUCUGCUUCUCUACCGUCACUAAACAACAGAAUCUUGGCAAGAAUUCCUUUUAUUUCCUACAUAAGGCUGCUGCAGUGCUGGGUCUUGUACAGGUAACAGGUGCAGGGUUCCACAAAACACAACACGGGCUGAAAUAUGCGACGGAAUGUAAACAAUUUAAAGAACCCAACCAGGAAUCGAUACAGGCUAACUUUAAGACUUUGCACAGGACAACAAUGGAUUCGAACCCCACAUGGAGAUGCAUCGAUGUAUACUGCAAGGGUUUUCGCCACAGCGCCACCGCUCAGUGCUCCUCAGGGCGUAUUUAGGGAAGAGCGUGGCUGGCCUUCUCCCUCCCAGAACCCCUGAGAUCAUUCCGGCCCAAUCACACGUUAACGUCAAGGGGAAGGGAAGUAAGAGGCCGCGGCACGAAUAAGCGAAGGCAUAGGAAGUGAAGUAAUUAAAAAGAAUUUCUACCGUGGCGCCGCAACAGCUGGAUUAUAAAAAUGCAUACGAAAAAAUACUAAUAAAGUUUAAAUGAAAGGUAAAAUUGUUGGGAAAGGAUGUAAUUCAGAUUUAAAAGAAUAAAAUAAGUAAUAAAAGGUUUAAAACUACAAAUCAAGCGAGCUCGGAAGAGAACAGCAAAUUAAUUGGACUCGUGUGGAAGAGAAAGAAAGGAUAGAGUUUUAAGAGUGACUGUCUCUUAACUAUCAUCAAAUUAAGGGUUCAGUAUAUUAAGGAAGAUUUAGUGAGGGUUUAAUAUUGAGAUCUUUUGUUGUUGUUGUUGUUGUUGUUGUGGUUGUUGUUUUAUUCCCCGGAUCAGGAGUGAAGAUUGUCCCGUGGAGAGGAUCAUCAGCGGCACACCCACAGCCUUCAAAUCAAGAGUUAAGUAUAUUAAAAGAGAAACUUAGUGAGGUUUAAAAUAAAGAUCUUUUUAUGUCUUUCUUCCCCUGAGCAUGAGGGCUGAGGGUUGUCCCGUCAUGAGGACCACCAAGCCAGUCAGAGGCGCACAGUGCUCACCCACCUCCUUGAAAUUAAGAGUUUGAUAUAUUAAGAAGAGAGAUUUUUUUUUUUUUUACUCUCCGGAUCUUGAGGAUUGAAAGUUGUCCCGUCACUAGGAUGAUCGGAGCCAGUGAGAGGCGCACAGUGCAUUCUCAGCCACUAGAAGCAGUUUACCGUCUUAUGGCUCUCGAGAUUAGCAAUAAUGAAGAGGCGACGCGAUCUUUGAAGUCCCGCAUCGCCCGGGCAGUGACGCCAGAGCCACGUGUGGAGGUUUUGGUGCCCUGCGGGGUGCCAGAAGGUGCCGGUGGCGUUGUCUCCCCCUCACCUUCCGUGGCACUCACCCGGCCGUUUCCCCCGCGCAAACGGAGACAAAUUUGCACGUUCACCGAGUCGCAGGUGGUGUGGCGUGCCGUCAGGUGUGUGUCGACGAGGCGGGACGCGGCCAAAAACUCCGUCCAGGUCCUGUGUGUGCGUGCAGUGAAGAGGCGGGGAAGGAGGAGAGCAGGGGGGUUAAAAAUAUAUACGUGGGUGACAAAGACUGGUGAAGGUGAAGGUGUAUAUCGGGAUUAGCGCCGCCCACCACCCAGUACUCCUUCAAAAGCCCCAGCAGUUAGCGAGGAGCCGCGGCGAGUGUCAGUGCCAGCUUGCGUCUCUCGGUUCGUUGUCGUGGUGGUGCCUUCCAGAGCCGGAGUGGUGGCGAGUGUUUCGGGAAAGUGUUACGGUUGUUGUGGAAAUAAAGGGAAAGAAAAGGAAAAGUGUGUGACGAUUGUUUCCUUCCUCCUGAGUCUGUUCUAGCUACCUCCCUUCCUCCCUCACCCGUCUCUCUCUCUCUCUCUCUCUCUCUCUCUCUCUCUCUCUCUCUCUCUCUCUCUCUCUCUCUCUCGAUUUUGUUUACGCAUUUCGUAGCUUUAUUGAAAUUUACAACACACACAGACCCACCUACCCACCCACACACACACACACACACACACACACACUGUCAUAGCACCUUCCCUCAAUUUCUCACCUGUUGUUUCUCCCACCUGUUGUGCCCCUUCCCUCCCUUCCCUCAGCCCCUCCUAGCCCCUCUCA